GGGUUGCCAGAUACACACACAAACACAAUUCAUUUGUUGUAUUUAUUAUGGAUCCCCAUUAGCUCCUGCCAAGACAGCAGUUAAUCUUUUUUUUUUUUGAAAUGUAACCUUUAUUUAACUAGGCAAGUCAGUUACGAACAAAUUCUUAUUUUACAAUGACGGCCUACCGGGGAACAGUGUGUUAACUGCCUUGUUCAGGGGCAGAAGACAGACUUUUACCUUGUCAGCUCGGGGAUUUGAUCCUUUCGGUUACAGGCCCAUCGCUCUAACCACUAGGCUACCUGCCGCGCCAAAACUCUUCUUCGGGUCCAGCAAAUUUAAGAUCUGCCAAUCUGCUCGGUGGAGUGUUCCAGGCCUGGAGUGGCAUGCUGGAACUUCCAGAGUCUUGUAGAGCUGAAGCAGUGUGAUGUGGUCCAGGUAUUUAUCAAACACACGUAUACACACUUACUCAUUCACUCACUCUGUUAUGUUGUAUAAUUAUGUGCAUACACUGGGUCUAUCAAGACUGACAAAGCAGAGAUGGGUGUCUGCUUUGUCAACACACACACACUCACACAAAUUAUCCACAAUGUAAAUAAGUUGUAAAUACUUGUUUAUCUACUCCUUCAUAUCCAUUCUCAAUAUCUACUGUACAUAAUUACUCUAAAUACCUCUCAAAUCAAACUGUGAUUGAUUGUAGACUAAUAUUGUAAAAGACGCAAGGGGAAACCCUACUUCAAGUCUCAGAGCGAG
rnacentral:lncRNA from 1 species